UUUUUUUUAAUGUGCUCUCUCUUUCUGAAUUUUGAAAAAUAACCGUUAGAGAGGCAACGGCUAUUUUUCCAAAAUUGAGAGUCUCUCUCCCUUUCCGUCUUCCAAGUCCCAAAUCCAGAUUCUCUUCCUUCUCUGUCUCUGCUCCUCCUCCUCUUCUUCUUCUUCUUCUUCUUCUUCUUCUUCUUCUUCAACGAUCAUCGGCACGCUUAUGUUGGAGGCUUGGAUGGCCACCGAUGUAGAUCUAGGGUUCUGUCCUUUAACGGAAGGGAACGAAGAAGAAAACCCAAUCGAUUGACAUCAUUAUUAAGGAUACAGAUACAAGUGGAGACGAAGUUUGCGUUAUGUGCUGAAGGGUGGGGAAAUAUUAUAUAUUCGCAACUGGAUCGGAAUAGAGUUGAUACAAGUGGAGUUGAAGUUUGCGUUAUGUGCUGAAAGGUGUAGAAAUAUUACUGGGUCAGAAUAAAGUUGUGGUUAUGAAUCUUAAUGUGUAGAAAAGCUUCUUCAGGGGUUUGAAUCAUAUGGAUUACUUGUACACGGGGGUUUCUGGUGUGAUAUGUGUAAAUUAAUGUAAAUUGUUUGAAUGUAAUGUUGGGAUCUGAUUGUGUAAGGAUGAAGUGAAGUAAUAAAAAUGUAAUACUUUUUGUGUUAA